UACAGAGGUCUCAAGCGUUGUUCGGAUUCAUUGGGCGUAAAGGGUGCGUAGGCGGCGCGGUAAGUCGGGUGUGAAAUCUCGGAGCUUAACUCCGAAACUGCAUUCGAUACUGCCGUGCUUGAGGACUGGAGAGGAGACUGGAAUUUACGGUGUAGCGGUGAAAUGCGUAGAUAUCGUAAGGAACACCAGUGGCGAAGGCGGCCAACUGGUCCGGUACUGACGCUGAGGUGCGAAAGCGUGGGGAGCAAACAGG
rnacentral:rRNA from 1 species